GAACAAAUGGGUGUUACAUCCGAUAAAAUUGGAACGAUACAGAGAAGAUUAGCAUGGCCCCUGCGCAAGGAUGACAGCACAAAUCCAGAAAUGGGUGUUAUUAGG